GAUGAACGCUGGCGGCGUGCCUAAUACAUGCAAGUCGAGCGAACGGACGAGAAGCUUGCUUCUCUGAUGUUAGCGGCGGACGGGUGAGUAACACGUGGAUAACCUACCUAUAAGACUGGGAUAACUUCGGGAAACCGGAGCUAAUACCGGAUGAUAUUUUGAACCGCAUGGUUCAAAAGUGAAAGACGGUCUUGCUGUCACUUAUAGAUGGAUCCGCGCUGCAUUAGCUAGUUGGUAAGGUAACGGCUUACCAAGGCAACGAUGCAUAGCCGACCUGAGAGGGGGAUCGGCCCACCGGGACCUGAGAAACGGCCCAGACCCCUACGGGAGGCAGCAGUAGGAAAUCUGCCGCAAUGGGCGAAAGCCUGACGGAGCAACGCCGCGUGAGUGAUGAAGGUCUUCGGAUCGUAAAACUCUGUUAUUAGGGAAGAACAUAUGUGUAAGUAACUGUGCACAUCUUGACGGUACCUAAUCAGAAAGCCACGGCUAACUACGG
rnacentral:rRNA from 1 species